rnacentral:lncRNA from 1 species
UUGGUAUCACAUCAAGCACACAUAUAUCUCCCAGCUUAGGAUUACGUAGGAAUAAGAGGAAUCGGCAAGUUUAACUGCUCGUGGUCAGACUAGAUCGGCUCGCCCCACUCCCACUUAACUACAAGGUUUCGAUCAUUGGGUGCAUGGGUAACGACACAAGGUGCAUGGGCAUCUCCACAAGCGCGCGCUACAUAUGACUGCACUGGCG